rnacentral:lncRNA from 1 species
AAAAAUUUUUGGCCGGUGGGGGCUUGAGCCCCCACUAGUCAUGUGCUGCAUCCGCCUCUGAUUGUGGAUAUCCAUUAUGGAGCGAUCCAGUUGCCAUCCCUACUCCCAACAUCCUCCGCCGCACCAAGCCGCCAUUCGUCCAUUAUGGAUAACACUUGCUUCUCUUAUUUGUUUUCUUAAUUUGCAAAGGUCUCUAAUCUGUGUAUAAUUUUAAACAUGCCACUAAUAUAUUGGCCUACUUAAUUUAUUUUACUAUCUAUCUACCAACCUGUUUUGCCACUAUGGGAUCUAAAUCAUUCUUUACAUAUAUGAUUAUGCAAUCUGUAGAUUGGUAUCUUGUAAACCUAAGAGUUGUCUCAUAAGGUGAUAUUUUCAAUGAUAUAGUGAUAUACGAUGACUUACUGCUGAACUAUUGGCACCGCUCUAAAAUCCUCUUAAAACCUUCUUUCAAUUAUAAUUCACUUAAUUUCAAAAAUACUUUUUUUUUCAAAAUAAACACCCCUUUCAUUUUAAAUCAUUCACACUCUUUGAAAAACUCAAAAACACUAAUUUUUCCAGAAAAUAUAAUAAUCAAUAUGAAUAAAUAAGAGAAAAAAAAAGUUACUACAGAGAUUUAAAAAAGUAAAUAUGGAUCUCAUAUAAGUGAAGUUAAUUCUAUUGGAAUUUAUCCUUCAAUGUCAUUAUAACAUAAUAAGAGUUUUAUGAAAUUAAUAAAAGGGUGCCAAUAGUCCCACUCUUUUAUUUCUAUAGUGUCAAUAAAGUCUCAGCAUAAUUUUAUUAUUGAUAUUAAUUUGAUGGGUUUGGGAUAGGUGCUGUGAAACGAGUCAGGUUGAAAUCGUUAAUACAAUUGAGUUUCAUGUGAUUUAUUUGAUUGAAUCCAUCCAUGAAAGGAGGAAUUUUAAUGGAUUACAAUAAUUUAAUUGAAUCCAUCCAUUGAGUUUCAGCUAUUUUAAUGGAUUACAAUAAUUUAAAUACUCACCCAUUAACUGACAGUUUUUGAGUUUGCAAUUGAUGUUUGAAUAUACUGAUUUGGUCCCUUCUCACAAGUUGUCCAUUCUCACAAAAAAAUUGGAAAUUAUCAGCCAUAUACUCUUAAAUAACACUCGUAUCAAACGUGUGUGAACACUUUUCAAGUGUAUCACUCGUAUACCCUAAGUUGACAAAAUACUUCUGCCAUCCACCAAUCCGUUAACUUUCGUUUGCAAGCGCUGACAUCAUAAGGGUAAUAUAGUCUUUUAAGAUGAAUGAAACUUUGGCUAACAAAAAUGACAUGUCAUCCCAUUUAUCAGAUAAUUGUUAAUAAUUGCUAAAAAAAAACUUUACAACCGAAUCUACUCCUCUAAAAUUUAACCUAAAUUUUUGAAGAUCUACUCCUCCAAGCUCCAAUUGGAAUUUUUUAUGGUAUAAUAU